ensembl:lncRNA
GGAAGAACUACCUAAAAACAGUACCUAUAUUGCAUUCAUAUCAUUGAGGCUUGUGUGAUGUCUGGGUCUGCCGAUGUCAGUUCUGGUAAGGGUAGGCCUGUAGGGAUGACGUUAUUUCAAUUUCACAAUUAUAAUUGUCCCCUCUUUUAGUGAAACAGUUUUUGAACCUUGUGAAGUUCUUCCAGUUGCAUUAAGUAAACCUGGGAGGAAACUGUAUAAUUACCAAUAUGCUAAUGCCAAGAUCAACUGGAUGUGUCACUUGUCAGUGUGGGAUGUGCCUCUGAAAGUAAAUUACUGUGGACGUCAGAGAACGGAAAUGUUCAUAUUUUGUUGGAUCCUCUUAGUGGACCAUAGUAACGAUUUUGUAGUUACGAUCAGUGUGAUGUCUAUGAACACGUACACCAUGAAUACAGUACAUUCUUACUUUACGUACUGCCAGCGAUUUGUGUCCUCAUCAUGAAAUACUACUUACACUUUGACAUGCGAAAUGUAGCGAGACGGUUGGCAUUUGUACAUGACUAAAGGGCUUGAAUGGUAUGGGUCUUCGGAUGUGAUACGCGGGUGAGCUGUAAGUGUUAGUGGACAGUGGUGCACACAUCUUUGGACAGGUGGCCAUUUUGGUGGUUAAUAACAGGGGGUUAUUCGUUGAGUGACGUUCAGUUCUACUGUAACGCAGGGGCUGUAAGUUAAGUACAAAUGCGUUUGACAACAAUGUAUUUCUUCAAAUCCUUCUCAGUGCACAUCACAUGGUCUUCUAAACUUCUGUGUUUCCAGGUUGGCUAUGAAGGUUCAAAUAUAUCUAUUCAGGAUUCUGUGGGGAUGUGGCAGUGGUAAAAUUACAGCUCAGUGACCUGAUAGAACCAAUAAAUGUUUGCCUGUAGUUUAAUACCUUUUGAAAAUAAAGAAUAUUUGGAAUGCAUGCAUGUGUUUAUACAUUGGGGGGUGUGGAGAGGGGGGGGUUAAUACUCUGAAACACAUUUAUUUUGUUAUCCCUAUAAUAACCUAGGUAUUACAACUGAACGCUGCUUUGAUUAAACAACUAUUUGUGCAAUAAACAGAGCUUCAUUUUAAGGUCAGAAUAUUAAGAAAAAUGAUUUUAUUCCAAUGGUGGUUGUAGCGGCCAAAGACACGGUCUCUGGUACAUUGCUAUAAUAAGGAUUUGAUGGCCCAUUACUACAUAAGCACUCUACCGUUCCCAC